rnacentral:rRNA from 1 species
UAGGGAAUCUUCCGCAAUGGACGAAAGUCUGACGGAGCAACGCCGCGUGAGCGAAGAAGGCCUUCGGGUCGUAAAGCUCUGUUGUCAGGGAAGAACAAGUAUCGGAGUAACUGCCGGUACCUUGACGGUACCUGACGAGAAAGCCACGGCUAACUACGUGCCAGCAGCCGCGGUAAUACGUAGGUGGCAAGCGUUGUCCGGAAUUAUUGGGCGUAAAGCGCGCGCAGGCGGUCCUUUAAGUCUGAUGUGAAAGCCCCCGGCUCAACCGGGGAGGGCCAUUGGAAACUGGGGGACUUGAGUGCAGGAGAGGGAAGUGGAAUUCCACGUGUAGCGGUGAAAUGCGUAGAGAUGUGGAGGAACACCAGUGGCGAAGGCGGCUUCCUGGCCUGUAACUGACGCUGAGGCGCGAAAGCGUGGGGAGCAAACA